UUUCGUCCGUAACUCAACGCUCCGGACGAAUUUGAAGGUGAAUCCAAUUGGGUUGGAAAGAGCACGAAAUCUAGUUUCCAACAAAAAAAGAAUCACCCAAUUCGAAGUCCGUAUGAAAAAGUUGUUGGCGUUUUGAGUCAGGUAUGUCUGUGCAGUCCGAAUCUGAAUCCAAAACGUGAGAGACUUGGACUCUAUCUUCUCUUGGCCCAAAAAUGACGUGAGAGGACUUUUUGAACACAACCUAAACUUCUCCUUUUCCCUUAUCUUCAUAUGUGGAUUGUACAAAUGUCCCAUACACCUGCAAUUAGACAAAACACAAAAGUGUGUGAAGUAUUUUUGUUCUGGAUAACAUAAAUAGAUUAUUGAAUAGUUUGCAUUAGAAAUCACCUGACAAAUAUGCAUGUAUGCAAUAUUUUUGGUCGUAUCCAAGGUAUUCAUGUCCUCAUCAUCCUCCCCUUUUUGAAAACAAAGCCGUCCUCGGCGUUGCUUAAUCUGAAAUGUGGCUAACAAAAGAGACAAGGUGUACAUGUUGUAUAUGUAUAUGUCAUCCAGUUUAACUUCCCUUGAUUUUUGCACGUAUGACACAUGUAUACACGAGUAACUUUCAUAGUUCAUAAAAACUAAAGCCAAAAAAUUAUCACAAGAAGUAGAAGGCAUGAAAAUAUUAGAACUCAGUUUGCACAUAUAAGUGAAGCUCUUAUUCAUUUCAAAAGAUUCGCAAUGUUCAUCCUUAAACCAUCCCAACUUUGGUGAAUAAACCUUACUUGCAUCAAAUUUACAUGCUACGACAUGCUUAAAUAAGCAAACAUGCAAUAAGUCAUUGGACACAGAAUCAUCACCAAGAUUGGAGGCCAUAUCAAAAUGAUUAAACAUUAGUUCUUUUGCAUCAACAGUUAAUUCAAUGGGUGCACUCAAAAUUGUUGAUAUUUCAGUUGUUUGAUCACUCUCUAAAAUAGGUGGUGUGCUCAAAUCAACAGGUAACUCAAUACAUGACGCAUUCAAGUUAACUAGGAAUGCAUCUUUCUCAUGUGAAGUUAUAUCAUCAAUAUCUUUACUGUUACCUUGUGGCAAAGAUGUAGCUGAUGUAGGUACGGACGUUGACAAUGUACCAUACCCUUGAGAUGAUGCCGCGCUCAUAAUCCGAGGUGCAAUGAUGGAGGAACCCACCGGCGGUGGUGAGCAUGAACUGGAAUAGUAGUUAUUGUAGUCACCUAAUGCAUCCUCCUGUAUCUGUCUCUCAAAGGUACAAGCACGGACAUACAUACCAGUAAUGCAACGAGGAAUAUACUGAAAUCUUGCCUGAAUAUCAUGGUUCAAACCACCAAAAAAUCUAUUCAUUGUAUCAUUCUCAGAUUCUUUUAUGUCACAAUGAUGCAUAUAAGAUUUGAACUCUUGGUAGUAAGCAUGAACAGUGUUGUUGCCUUGUUUAAAUUGUUCAAAUUUGCGAAGCAAUUCACGACGAUAAUAAGGAGGGAAAAAUUGUUGUCUCAUUACAGCUUUCAAAACAUUCCAAGUUGUGGGUUGGUUAUCAAUGUUUUUCUUACAAUGUACACUCCACCAAACAGAAGCAAAACCAGUAAAUGCUCUAAUGGUAGCUCGUACUCUCUCAAGUUCAGAAAAAUCAUGGUGACUAAAAACUUGUUCUACUUCAAGCUCCCAAGCUAGAUAAAUAGCAGGAUUAAAUCUAUCCUCAAAUGAUGGUAAAGAGAUAACCUGACCAUAUGCUUGUGUGUGUUGUCCCAACUCUCGUGAUGGUGACGAUGUGUCCGUCAUCCAAGAACUUCUAUCUCUGCAACCUGUCAUGAUUAGUAGAAACAAGAACCAAAAUUCGAGAAUAAUGUUCCUAUGAACUACUAGGAUGUGGUUGUAAAGUGCUCACAGUAAAGCAAAUAUCAAUAUCUUACAAGUUCUUACCAUGCGGCAGGUGGUGACAGGCAACCAGCGGUGUCAAAUAACUCCGAAGAUUGUGUAAAACGAUUGCCAGGGGAACGUACGUAUACACGGUGUAGAAAUAUGUGGAGCUGGGUUGGCUAUAUAUGGUAGCAAAAGAUUAGCAAUAAUCAAUUCAGAGAUGCAAUGUUGAAUAAACGCUCAACGACGGUACUGUGCUGGUCCUAGGCUAGACCAAACUAGAGACGCGAGCCUAGAACACUAAUGAGGUCACGUCGUAGCACAACUAGCAUUAAUAAAGGAUAUGAAGUAGCUCUGGACAGCAAGAUAUAAGUGAAGAUCACAAUAGCAGUAGACCUAUUUAGAAGCUGAUGUUGAGGUGCCAAAUACUGAGCUAGCUUCUACAACUAUUUAGAUGUGGCUCGUCGCUAGCUUUCAUUUGAGUACUCGCGGAGCCAAAACAGACUUCAUAUGAGGAAGUUAUGCCUGUUUUACUGAACAGUGCACAAAACAGAUUCCAAUCCGAAUUCAACUACGAGAUUGAGUCUAGAUAGAUCCGAAUUUUGUUUUUUUUCUCCUCUCUUUUUUUUCUCACACUUUUUUUUUCUUUUCCUUUCUUUUUUUUCUCUGACUUUUUUUUUUACUUUUUUUCUCUUGUUUUUUUCUCUAUCUUUUUUUUCUCUCUCCCUCUUUCCAAAACAAACUAGAUAAGAUGUAGAUUGGAUCAAGCGAAGAUGGGAACGAUCUCAACUAUGAUUAUGACAAUGAACUGUGGGUAGCACGUGGAGGAAAUUGAUGGAUGGGUGGUGGACAGCGGAAGGGAUAAUGAUGCAACGGCGACGUGACUAAUGUGAACAGAACUCGAAACUCUAAACGACCUAGACACUAAGACCAGCAACUCGACACGACGAUUGCAACCGAUAAUUCAACUAUGCAAGCAAUGAAAAGAAAAUUGCAAAGGCUCAGACUGGCUUGGACCAAGGAUAAAUAGAUCUAACUCUUUUUUGUGGCUUUUUCUUGGACAAUAGGUAAGAAAAUAAAUCUAAUCUAGGAAAACUGGAAAUUCUCACCGAGCAACCUGAAAACUGAUACCACUUGAUAGAGGCGAGGGUGUCCCGAUCUUUCGAUGAGAUGAUAACUAUCGAUUUGGUGGAGACGACUUUGACGAUCCGACUACAAACGUGCACGAUGUUGCGCCUUAGCAAUCGCUAAACCAAUCUCCUGAGGUUACUGACGAUGCCGGAAGCACAGUCAGCCUGACCACGAAGGUCUAUUCCUACAAGCAAUCGAAGAACGAGCAAGAAUAUGAUAAAGCAAUCUGAAUAUUGCAAAUAUAUAUGAGGUAUUGAUAAUGGUGGGGAUCCGUAAGCGGUCUUGGUCUGGUCGUUGGACACAAACGAAGUACACGAAGUUGCAAUGGCUAACUUUUAACUAAACAAAUCCCAAGGAAAAAGCUACUAGAUGGAUCUACUUAUAUAGGAGUAAGGGGUGGCGGCCAAGGAGGUGGGAGGACGUCCCAAGGCAGCCUAAAACUAACCCUAGGUCGUACAAGGCUCAUGGGCCCAAGUGGAGGUGAUGCAACACCUUUGGGCUUGUAGUUUGACUCGGAUUCUGCUGCAAUGUCAGAUUGUUUCGUCCGUAACUCAACGCUCCGGACGAAUUUGAAGGUGAAUCCAAUUGGGUUGGAAAGAGCACGAAAUCUAGUUUCCAACAAAAAAAGAAUCACCCAAUUCGGAGUCCGUAUGAAAAAGUUGUUGGUGUUUUGAGUCAGGUAUGUCUGUGCAGUCCGAAUCUGAAUCCAAAACGUGAGAGACUUGGACUCUAUCUUCUCUUGGCCCAAAAGUGACGUGAGAGGACUUUUUGAACACAACCUAAACUUCUCCUUUUCCCUUAUCUUCAUAUGUGGAUUGUACAAAUGUCCCAUACACCUGCAAUUAGACAAAACACAAAAGUGUGUGAAGUAUUUUUGUUCUGGAUAACAUAAAUAGAUUAUUGAAUAGUUUGCAUUAGAAAUCACCUGACAAAUAUGCAUGUAUGCAAUAUUUUUGGUCGUAUCCAAGGUAUUCAUGUCCUCAUCACUUGUAAGUUCCCACUUGAUAAAGCAAAGAGGACCACAACACAAGCAUCAGAAAAGGAGGCCUGUUGCAAUUCAUAUCCAAGCUUAACAAAACAUGAAAACCUAUGAGAUCUAAGGGAGUACCUCUACAUGAGUAAAAGAGACCAGGUAGCAAAGAAAACAAACAUCCCUAAAUAACAGAUCAAAAAUGAAAAUGUAACAAGCUACCAGUUAAAAAACAAGCUAUUUAGAAAUUUGGAGGAUUUUAAAGCCCCAACUUCAUAAUGUUCAAAACAUCAUACGGUUCAUUGACUGAAGCAUCAUUUAGUCUCUUUCAUCAUACGAUACAAUUUCCACCUCCCUAUCAUCUCACAGGCAUCUGUUGCUUACGUUAUUUGUAGUAGUUCUGUUAAUGGAUUUACCCUGAUUUUGUCCAUGAGAACACUGUAUCCUAGAUUGCUCCUUCAAUUUGUUCAAGAUAAAUGAUACAGACUUGACAGAACCAUGAAUGAUAAAAUAAUCAUAAGUUUUACUUCGGUCGAAAUAAGCAACUACUCGAGUGUAUAUAACUUGCUUGAAAGUAUGGUGAUCUCUAAAUAUGUAAGAUCAAUCUGCAUAUUCCGAAGUUACCCUGUUUCAAGAAGUGCGAACCAACUGUUUGUUUCAUACAGUUGUGUUCCUGUGAGGAUAUUAUAACUUUUGAAAUUCUUCUUCACAUAUAUGAAGUGCAUGAAGACGCUCUGAAGAGUGCAACCACCAACGAAGCCUCUAGCCUGAGUUCACUUCCUGAGAAGAAAAGAGAAGUCUAGUCAAAUAGAGAAGUCUUAGAUAGUGCAGCAU
rnacentral:lncRNA from 1 species